UACGGAGGGUGCAAGCGUUAUUCGGAAUCACUGGGCGUAAAGGGCGCGUAGGCGGUUCGUUAAGUUUGAUGUGAAAUCCCGGGGCUUAACUCCGGAAGUGCAUCGAAUACUGGCGGACUAGAGUAUGGGAGAGGAUGGUGGAAUUCCUGGUGUAGAGGUGAAAUUCGUAGAUAUCAGGAGGAACACCGGCGGCGAAGGCGGCCAUCUGGACCAUAACUGACGCCUAAGCGCGAAAGCGUGGGGAGCAAACAGG
rnacentral:rRNA from 1 species